UCCCUCUUACACACUUAGACCAAAGUCACCAAAUCCUUCGCACACUUACAGUCUGAGCUCCAUCGCACAACCAAACGCCUACGCAUGCCGUCACAGCCGCCUCCGCUGCCAGGAAAGCCUCCCCGUCGUCUUCGCUCCCACCACCGGAGUCGCCGUUUGCUCUUCGGCCUCUGUAGUUGAAGUUCGUCGGCCUGUUCUCCGAAGGUGUCGCACACUCGCACUGAACUACUGAAGGUCGAAACCCUCGUCCUAAACCCUUGAGUCGCCGUCUGCUUUCCGGCCUCCGCAGCAGAAGUCCGUCGCCCUGUUCUACGAAGCCGUCGCACUGAACUACUGAAGGCCAAAGCCGUCGCUGUGAGUGGCCGUCUGCUCUCCGGCCUCCGCAACCGCAAGCUGCACAGCGGCUAACUAUUGUGCUAAUGAAAGAGGACAUGGCCGGACAUAGAGAAGAGCAAAUGCAAGUAGUACUGCUAUGUUGGAGGUUUGGUUGAGAUGCAAUUUACUUUGGAUUUUUCCAACAUUUUUGGAAGUGGUUUUAUUAUAUACAAGUGACAUUACUACUGGGAAGUUGUCCCCAGAAUGCCUUCUUGAUUACUUGGACCUAUCAUCGGAGUAUACAGCUUCAGAAAUUGCUAAUAGAAUUGAGGCUGCAAUGCAUAUCUGGAGGCAGAAGCACAAAAAGAAGCAAUAAAAACCGAUAUGGAUUCCAUGAGGAUGGAUUAUAGGUUGUUAAAGAAGAGUUGCAGUCCUCUGGACAACUCAAAACACAUGGUACCUUUCGUUAGGAUGGUAUGAUCACUUUUCCAUUUUCAUAUCCAAGUUGGUAAAUUUAGUAAUUUCAUUAAAA